GAACUGAACUCUGGCAAACCAGAAGGUGUGAAGCUACCAGGAAGGAGGCCAGAGGACCCGGAAACCACUGCAAAGAUGACCUCACAAAGGAACCAGUGUGGUGGGGCUUCUGGGGCGCUCACGGGGAUGCACCCUGCUUCUGAGAGGAAGCAGGCUGACAGGCGCCUUGGGCUUGCACGGUUCGGGGAAACUAAAAUAGCCCCGGUGGUUGGAAGAGAAGUAUGUGUGGAUGAAAUUAUUCAAAUGCUGACAGAUGGAUUCGAGGUCUCCUUCCUGCUGGCCUGGCAGCCGCUGUGUAGAAAACCUUGCCUGGGAGAUGGAUCCUGGCAGCUCUGUUUCCCUGGCCUUCCCAGUGUCAAGAUCACUUCUGCAAAGGAAGAAAAGGAAAGGAAGGCGGUCCCCACUUCCCCGGGGCUGGUGGGCUCUGUGGAUCCUGCCUCAGCCUGCGGGAUGACCCAAAGUGGCUUUUUUUUUUUUCCCCAGCCUGGCCAACUUUUUUGCUCACAGGUCACAGUCAAGCUUAUUAAACUUGGAUGACAGUAAACCAAUGACUAACUGGAUAAUUGAAGCCACAAGUCAGGAGGCCUGGGUGGAUCCCUCCUCUGGAAUCUCCAGUGGCCUGUUCCAUAGGCAAACACCGCUCGUUCUCCCCACAGCAGAAAUGCUUCUGUGAAUUAAAAACCCUCUGUGUGACCUCCACCUCUUCUUGAAAUCACUUCUCCAUUUAUCCAUUGCUUCAUGCCCCCACCGCACCGUCCCUGUCCACCCCAAGGAAGGAGGAAAUCUAACCACACUCCCCCACACUGCUGCGUGGACAGGAACAUGACAAAAGAUUUCCAACUAAAACCAAAGUUACUCAGCAGAGCUUCCUGCCUGGCUGACGUGCUGGAGGACAUAAGCAGACUAACACAUAGCCCAAGCCAACCAGGAGACCUGCAGACUGAUGAGGAAGGCAUUGGAGACCAAGAAACCUGACAGAGUUCCAAACCACAAUGCAAAGUAAAAAAGAUGGGCGUCCUGUGAAGCGGGUCCCAAGCCUCAGUCCUGCCCUGGAUGUCACCAUCUGCCUCAGGCCUCCCUUGAAGGGCCUUGAAGAUGCUCAGCCCGGAGCCUCUGCUGGGGCCGGGUUUCCUGGCCGGCCCGGCCUCAGGGCGGCCGAGGAAGUGCUGUGGAGAGCUGAGUGAGGCAGACGGGCCACAAGGUGCCGUUGAGCACAGUGCGCACACCCACGGGGGACUGCAGGUAGCUGGCUGAGGACAGAGGAAGCCGCAGUGUGGCCCACCCCCACUGCAGAAGUGGCUUUCUCAUCUCCCUGAUUCACCAAACGCACUACAACUAAAAAAUACCGAUUGUGCCUAACUCUGAAGGCUGGCCCUCACCUGUGUGUAUGUCCUACCAGAGUUCUUUGUUUCCGGGGAGAAACAGAAGCUACAAACAUCACAUUCCUUUCUGGGUUGAAUUACUGCUGUUUAAAAAGUCAAAGGGAAAAAAGGAAAGUCGAUCCUUGUAUUAACAGAGAAAUUUUCAACGAGAACAGUGUGAUUUCUGGCCAGUUGCUGAUGGCCGGUUUUCCAGAAGAGAAUGAUGUGCUCAUGAGGCAGUUAUUAAGUGUGAUGACAACCACCAAUUUAGUGAAGCGUCAAUGGCUUGUUUGU